UAUUUUUGAAAGAAUACAUUUGGUCAUAAA
rnacentral:piRNA from 1 species